GAUGAACGCUGGCGGCGUGCCUAAUACAUGCAAGUCGAGCGAACAGACGAGGAGCUUGCUCCUCUGACGUUAGCGGCGGACGGGUGAGUAACACGUGGAUAACCUACCUAUAAGACUGGGAUAACUUCGGGAAACCGGAGCUAAUACCGGAUAACAUGUUGAACCGCACGGUUCAACAGUGAAAGACGGUCUUGCUGUCACUUAUAGAUGGAUCCGCGCCGCAUUAGCUAGUUGGUAAGGUAACGGCUUACCAAGGCAACGAUGCGUAGCCGACCUGAGAGGGUGAUCGGCCACACUGGAACUGAGACACGGUCCAGACUCCUACGGGAGGCAGCAGUAGGGAAUCUUCCGCAGUGGGCGAAAGCCUGACGGAGCAACGCCGCGUGAGUGAAGAAGGUCUUCGGAUCGUAAAACUCUGUUAUUAGGGAAGAACAAAUGUGUAAGUAACUAUGCACGUCUUGACGGUACCUAAUCAGAAAGCCACGGCUAACUACGUG
rnacentral:rRNA from 1 species